rnacentral:tRNA from 1 species
UGCCGAAUUGUGUAAUGGUAGCACAAAUGACUCUGGAUCAUUCUGUCUGGGUUCAAAUCCUAGUUCGGCAGCCA